rnacentral:rRNA from 1 species
GACGAACGCUGGCGGCGUGCUUAACACAUGCAAGUCGAACGGAAAGGCCCUGCUUUUGUGGGGUGCUCGAGUGGCGAACGGGUGAGUAACACGUGAGUAACCUGCCCUUGACUUUGGGAUAACUUCAGGAAACUGGGGCUAAUACCGGAUAGGAGCUCCUGCUGCAUGGUGGGGGUUGGAAAGUUUCGGCGGUUGGGGAUGGACUCGCGGCUUAUCAGCUUGUUGGUGGGGUAGUGGCUUACCAAGGCUUUGACGGGUAGCCGGCCUGAGAGGGUGACCGGGCACAUUGGGACUGAGGUAGGGCCCAGACUGCUACCGGGGGCAACAGUGGGGAAUAUUGCACAAUGGGCGGGAGCCUGAGGCGGCAACCCCGGGUGCGGGAAGACGGGCUUCGGGGUGUGAACCGCUUUCGCCUGUGACGAAGCGUGAGUGACGGUAAUGGGUAAAAAAGCAACGGCUAACUACGUG